CUGUUAACUCCGCCUGUAGCUCUUAUAGGGUUGCUGCCGGUCCCAAGCCCGGGUAAAGGAGGAGGGUUGG
rfam:Schistosoma curassoni strain Dakar, Senegal genome assembly, scaffold: SCTD_contig0002130